rnacentral:rRNA from 1 species
CACGUAGGGGACGAGCGUUGUCCGGAUUCAUUGGGCGUAAAGCGCGCGUAGGCGGCUCGGAAAGUCGGUCGUGAAAUGCCGGGGCUCAACCCCGGGACUGCGUCCGAUACUCCCGAGCUGGAGGCAGGUAGGGGAGAUCGGAAUUCCUGGUGUAGCGGUGAAAUGCGCAGAUAUCAGGAGGAACACCGGUGGCGAAGGCGGAUCUCUGGGCCUUGCCUGACGCUGAGGCGCGACAGCGUGGGGAGCAAACAGG